rfam:Streptomyces curacoi strain DSM 40107 genomic scaffold PRJNA299217_s010, whole genome shotgun sequence.
CGUCGGCGAUCUGCGGGCAGAUGAAGUGGACGUGGGCGUCGAUCGCACCGGCCGUCAGAAUCCUGCCGUUGCCCGCGAUGAUCUCCGUUUCCGGCCCGAUCACCAGAUCCGGGUGCACCCCGUCCAUCGUGUCGGGGUUGCCCGCCUUGCCGAUGCCGGUGAUCCGGCCGUCGCGGAUGCCGACGUCGGCCUUGACGAUGCCCCAGUGGUCGAUGAUCACGACGCCGGUGAUCACCGUGUCGGGGGUGCCUUCUGCCCGCGUGGCACGCGACUGGCCCAUGGAUUCGCGGAUG